UCCUCACAGCUGUCUGGAUCUUAGGAUGC
rnacentral:piRNA from 1 species